AUGCAGUCGACGGUGAAGGAGAGCUUGCUCUUUGGAUCAGUGGCGAACGGGUGAGUAACACGUGAGCAAUCUGCCCCUGACUCUGGGAUAACAGUUGGAAACAGCUGCUAAUACCGGAUAUGAGACGUGACCGCAUGGUCGACGUUUGGAAAGAAUUUCGGUCAGGGAUGAGCUCGCGGCCUAUCAGCUUGUUGGUGAGGUAAUGGCUCACCAAGGCGUCGACGGGUAGCCGGCCUGAGAGGGUGACCGGCCACACUGGGACUGAGACACGGCCCAGACUCCUACGGGAGGCAGCAGUGGGGAAUAUUGCACAAUGGGCGAAAGCCUGAUGCAGCAACGCCGCGUGAGGGACGACGGCCUUCGGGUUGUAAACCUCUUUUAGCAGGGAAGAAGCGAAAGUGACGGUACCUGCAGAAAAAGCGCCGGCUAACUACGUGCCAGCAGCCGCGGUAAUACGUAGGGCGCAAGCGUUAUCCGGAAUUAUUGGGCGUAAAGAGCUCGUAGGCGGUUUGUCGCGUCUGCUGUGAAAACUGGAGGCUCAACCUCCAGCCUGCAGUGGGUACGGGCAGACUAGAGUGCGGUAGGGGAGAUUGGAAUUCCUGGUGUAGCGGUGGAAUGCGCAGAUAUCAAGAGGAACACCGAUGGCGAAGGCAGAUCUCUG
rnacentral:rRNA from 1 species